GACGAACGCUGGCGGCGUGCUUAACACAUGCAAGUCGAACGGAAAGGCCCUGCUUUUGUGGGGUGCUCGAGUGGCGAACGGGUGAGUAACACGUGAGUAACCUGCCCUUGACUUUGGGAUAACUUCAGGAAACUGGGGCUAAUACCGGAUAGGAGCUCCUGCUGCAUGGUGGGGGUUGGAAAGUUUCGGCGGUUGGGGAUGGACUCGCGGCUUAUCAGCUUGUUGGUGGGGUAGUGGCUUACCAAGCCUUUGACGGGUAGCCGGCCUGAGAGGGUGACCGGGCACAAGGGGACUGAGAGAGGGACCAGACUGGAACGGGAGGCAGUAGUGGGGAAUAUUGCACAAUGGGCGGGAGCGUGAGGAAGAAGCGCCGGGGGCGGGAAGACGGCCUUUGGGUUGUAAACCGCUUUAGCCUGAGACGAAGCGUGAGUGACGGUAAUGGGUAAAGAAGCACCGGCUAACUACGUG
rnacentral:rRNA from 1 species